AAUAAUCGAGAAAUCGUUCGACUUUUCAUUUCCUGUCCAAUCGUCGCAUUUUCAAAGAGAACUGAAGUAUACUUCACGUUAUUGUACUUAAUGUUCAAUAUCAGUAUAAACAGGUUAUAUCGCGAAAGUAAUUGGAUCGUGCAUACCAUUUUCUCCAUGUUUUAACCGACUUUCCGCAGAAUAUCAGCGAUCACGCAUUAUCGAUCUUAUAAUGAUCUGUUUCGCGACAUAGAUGUUAAAGAGAAAGCGAUAUGCCGUGAUGUGCACGAUAUCUUACCAAACGUUCUUCAUGGAGUAGUUUUGUAUUGAAUCAUGGGUUGAACUCUACACUAAUUUAUUUCCAAGGCCAGGAGAUAUUUAUAAAACACACGGAAGAUAUCAAAUAUGGUUACAAACAUAUAACUAAUCAUUUGUUGUCUUUCACUUUUUACCUGCGCCAGAAUCGUUCCAUGAUAAACCCAUGCCUUUGGAAGUUAAUACGAUUCGAAAAAAUAACUCAAGGUCUCUUCGGCAUAAAAUGUCUUAUUUGGUGUACAAAGAAUCAACUUCGAUCUACGAGUUUUUAUUUAAAAUCUUACUUAUUAUUUAAAAUAUUCUAUAUAUUUGUCUAUAAUUGAUAAUGAUUAUAGCUGCAAUAUGGAUAUGUAGGAACAGAUCCAACAGAUUCAUAUCAGCGUA